UCCAACCUCUGGAAUUUCUUGGGGUCCGUAUAUGCCCUGUUCACAGAGACUUAAAAGUUUUUUCAUGCACCCGAAUCUCUAUGACGUUAUUUCAAGAAAG